rnacentral:rRNA from 1 species
UACAGAGGGCGCGAGCGUUGUCCGGAAUCACUGGGCGUAAAGGGCGCGUAGGUGGCCACCAUAAGGCCGCGGUGAAAGUUCGGGGCUCAACCCCGGAUCUGCCGUGCCGACUGUCAAACUCGAGGGCUGUAGAGGCAGACGGAAUUCCGGGUGUAGCGGUGGAAUGCGUAGAGAUCCGGAGGAAGACCGGUGGCGAAGGCGGCUCUCUGGGACGGUACUGACGCUGAGACGCGAAAGCGUGGGGAGCGAACAGG